UACAGAGGUCUCAAGCGUUGUUCGGAUUCAUUGGGCGUAAAGGGUGCGUAGGCGGCGCGGUAAGUCGGGUGUGAAAUUUCGAGGCUUAACUUCGAAACUGCAUUCGAUACUGCCGUGCUUGAGGACUGGAGAGGAGACUGGAAUUUACGGUGUAGCGGUGAAAUGCGUAGAUAUCGGAAGGAACAUCAGUGGCGAAAGCGGCUUCCUGGACCAGCACCGACGUCAGGCACGAAAGCGUGGGGAGCAAACAGG
rnacentral:rRNA from 1 species